UGAACGCUAGCGGCAGGCUUAAUACAUGCAAGUCGUGGGGCAGCAGGGGUAGCAAUACCCGCUGGCGACCGGCAAACGGGUGCGGAACACGUACGCAACCUUCCUUUAACUGGAGAAUAGCCCCUCGAAAGAGGGAUUAAUACUCCGUAACAUAUACAUGUGGCAUCACAAGUAUAUUAUAGCUCCGGCGGUUAAAGAUGGGCGUGCGCCUGAUUAGAUAGUUGGCGGGGUAACGGCCCACCAAGUCUGCGAUCAGUAACUGGUGUGAGAGCACGACCAGUCACACGGGCACUGAGACACGGGCCCGACUCCUACGGGAGGCAGCAGUAAGGAAUAUUGGUCAAUGGACGCAAGUCUGAACCAGCCAUGCCGCGUGGAGGAUUAAGGCCCUCUGGGUUGUAAACUCCUUUUAUCUGGGAAGAAAUGCCAUUUUUCUAAAUGGUUUGACGGUACCAGAGGAAUAAGCACCGGCUAACUCCGUGCCAGCAGCCGCGGUAAUACGGAGGGUGCAAGCGUUAUCCGGAUUCACUGGGUUUAAAGGGUGCGUAGGCGGGCAGGUAAGUCCGUGGUGAAAUCUCUGAGCUUAACUCAGAAACUGCCAUGGAUACUAUUUGUCUUGAAUAUUGUGGAGGUAAGCGGAAUAUGUCAUGUAGCGGUGAAAUGCUUAGAUAUGACAUAGAACACCAAUUGCGAAGGCAGCUUACUACACAGUUAUUGACGCUGAG
rnacentral:rRNA from 1 species